AGGGGGACGCUCACCUCGGUCACAUCCCUGCUCCCCUCAGGGCACCCCUUGCCCCCAGGUGACGGUGGCCCGGGGCUGAGGGGACGGGCCGCCCCGGGCGCUGCGCCUAUGCCGCCUCCCGCCCCCAUCCAUCCCAGGGCCCCGGCCGCCAUUUUACCUGCGGCGGCGGCGCCACCUCCUCGCCAGGGGGCAGCGCUGCGCACGUCACGCGGGGGCCGCCGGCACCCCGCGCGCAGGCGCCGUGGCCGCAAACCCGCCAUGUCGGACAAGAUGGCGGCGGCCGCGGCCUCCUCUCAGCCGCAGCCGAGCCCCGGCCCGCCGGAGGCGGAGGGCGGGGAGGCCGAAGCGGAGGAGUUCGGGUGCCCGGCGCACUGCUCUGACCUGGUCUGGCGGCAGAACGAGCAGCGUCGCCACGGCCUCUACUGCGACAUCACUCUGGCCUUCGGCGGCGGGCGGCCCGGGACGGUCCGCGAGUACCGGGCGCACCGCUCCGUCCUGGCCGCCGCCACCGAGUACUUCACUCCGCUGCUCUCGGGGGGCUUCGCUGAGUCGCGCUCGGGCCGCGUGGAGCUGCAGAAGUGGAGCUCGGAGGGCGGCCCCGACCCCGACACGGUGGAGGCCAUCGUCGGCUUCAUGUACACCGGCACCAUCCGCGUCAGCCCCGGCAACGUCCACGAGGUGCUGGAGAUGGCCGACAGGUUUCUGCUGACCCGGUUAAAAGAGUUCUGUGGAGAGUUUCUGAAGAAGAAGCUGAACCUCUCCAACUGUGUCGCGAUUCACAGCUUGGCCCACAUGUAUUCCUUGAAUCAGCUGGCCCUCAAAGCUCAGGAUAUGAUCAGGAGAAACUUCCACAAGGUAAUCCAAGAUGAGGAGUUCUACAUUUUGCCGUUUCAUCUCGUCAGAGACUGGCUUUCAGACUCGGAGAUCACAGUGGACUCUGAAGAAGUCCUCUUUGAGACUGUUUUGAAGUGGGUUCAGAAAAAUCCUGAGGAAAGAGAGAGGUACUUUGAAGAUCUUUUUAAACUGCUUAGGUUGUCUCAGAUGAAACCCACUUACCUUACUCGCCACGUCAAAUCUGAAAGGCUGGUAUCAAGCAACGAAGCCUGUGUUAAAUUAGUGUCCGAAGCUGUGGAGAGUCAUGCCUUGCGGUCUGAGAUUUUGCAGUCUGGUAAUCUACAACAUUCCGCUUGUCCUGUAGCGUUGUUACCGCGUUUUGGACAGAACAUGGAUGUCAUUAUGGUGAUUGGUGGUGUGUCGGAGGGAGGAGAUUACUUGAGUGAGUGCGUAGGGUAUUUCAUCGAUGAAGAUAGGUGGGUAAACUUACCACACAUACAUAAUCAUCUUGAUGGGCAUGCUGUUGCUGUGACAGAAUCUUACGUUUAUGUGGCUGGCUCCAUGGAACCAGGGUUUGCCAAAACUGUAGAAAGGUACAAUCCAAACAGAAAUAUUUGGGAGCAAGUCUCAAAUCUAAUAACCAGAAAGCAUUCUUUUGGCCUUACUGAAAUUAAAGGAAACUUGUACAGUUUUGGUGGACAUGGCAAUUUCAGUCCUGGCUUUAAAGAUGUGGCCAUUUAUAAUCCUGAGCAAGACAAAUGGCUUAACCUGGAGUCAGCACCAAAGAUUCUUCGUGAUGUCAAAGCCAUUUCUGUAGAAGACCGGUUUGUUUAUGUUGCUGCUCGUACCCCAGUUGACAGUGAUAGUGAAGAUGGAUUGAGGGCAGUUAUUAUCAGAUACGAUGCUGAAACUAGGCUGUGGCAGGAUGUAGAGUCUCUGCCACUCAUUGAUAAUUAUUGCUCCUUUCAGAUGUCUGUUGCUAACACAAACUUUUACCAUACAGCAUCGUGCUGCCCCAAGAAUUACUCUAUAGGUAAUGAGGAAGCCAAGAUAAAGAUCUCUGGCAGGACCUCGGAUGAAAUACUUGAAAGCUUACCCCCAGAGGUUCUUAGCAUUGAAGGAGCAGCUAUUUGUUAUUAUAAAGAUGAUGUUUUUAUCAUUGGGGGGUGGAAAAACAGCGAUGAUAUUGACAAGCAAUACAGGAAAGAGGCCUAUCGUUACUGUGCUGAGAGAAAGCGCUGGAUGCUUUUGCCUCCUAUGCCUCAGCCUCGCUGCAGAGCAACAGCCUGCCAUGUGAGAAUUCCCUUCAGAUGCUUGCAGGGAACACAAAGAUACCCUAUGCCACAGAAUUUGAUGUGGCAAAAAGAUAGAAUAAGGCAAAUGCAGGAAAGGCAGAUGCAGGAAAUACACCGACACUCCCUAAGCUUACGGAGAAUGCCACGCUCGCAGAUUGAGUGCUAGUUUCUGGGAUAUCACUCCUCCUGAUGAGUCUAUGAAAUACUGUGCUAAACCAUUUUGUUAGGCUUGACAUGUCUUUAUAAGACAUGAGGGUGUUGAUUGGAUUUGAUGCAUAAAACCAGCAUCUUUCAUGUAUUGAAAAUUAAGAAGUUCAGAAAUUGAGGAUGGAUGGGAAUUGAGAAACUAUGUGAAUCCAACAGCAUUACUUAAUGAUGCCCAGGGAAAAACUAGCCUGCAACGGGCUGUGAAAUAUCUCCAGGAACAUUAAGUCUGUUAUUUUUCUCUUCAGAUCUUUGUUUUCAAGGUCUUCUGUGGAGUUAGUCUCUAACAGUUCUAUUUUGAAAAUCAAAGAUCUCUGUCGUAAUAAUUUAGUGGUUACAUUUGUGUGUGCUUGAAAGCACCUGUUUUAUUUGCACUUAUAUAUUGACAUUCCUUUGAUUCUCUCCUUCUCAGUGACUAAACUUCACAUAUAAUUAGUGUUAGUGUACUUAGCUUUCCCAAGUUGGAGGCAAGUGCAAUAGUUAUACCUAUAUAUGAAAACAAAAGCACAAUCUUUCUUUAUAAAAUUACUUCAGGAUGUUUCUAUGUGUAUUAAAUAUUUUGUAUCUGUAUGUUGUAGAGAGGCGGCAGAGUUUGUUUAUAAAUGGAUGAUUGGUAGAACACAAGACACUUGCUAAAACAGAGAACUUGAGGCAGUAGUUUUUUUUCAGGUGUAUCUGAAGAUGCUUCGAGUUUGUCUUUGACAGCUUCAUUAGAAACUUGGGUCAACAAUCAGCCUGAUAAAAGGAGUGAAAACCAGUGAAGUAGCCACCCACCAACAUUGACUAUUCACUUCUAUUUUACUGUGGAUUAGUAAGAAUGAGAUUAUUUCACAGUAAUAGAUUGAAACCUGAGCUACUUGUAGAUCCUUUCUCAAAUGUUGCACGCAUUUUAGUUCUAGUGAAAAAGUGAUUAGAAGAACGCCCACGAGCCUGUUCCCAGCUUGUCUUUGACAAUCAGUACCCUUUGCCUUCGGUGUACUUUCCCAAGAAACUUAGAGUAGCUGUGCUGCAGUGCUCUUUAACAAAUCGGCACUUGGCGUUCCUCUUGAAGCAAGAUAGUUGAGAUUUCACAGUCUAAAUAUUUGAAAAUUCCCACUUAACUAUGGCAGUAAGAUUUAAGCUGAUUUAAAUACCUUUUGGCAUUUUGAGGUGGUUUUACAUAAACUAGUGCCCUGGUUGGCUCUGGUUUGCUUACUGCUAUACUCCCAAGGAACAGAACAUGGAAUAUUUCCUUUAGAGUAUCACUGCCUCGUCAGUUAACUGUCCUGUUGAACACUCCUUCUCUCUGAUCCCAAGAGCUCCAGGACAGUUUAGGUUACUAGUGGGUUCAGUGCAUCCUUCCUACCUCCUUUUCUUCCCCAUCCUUCCCUUCAUUUGAAUGUUCCAGGUUUUCACGUGCAACCUAACUCAGGAUCUUAGGGAAGGGAAAGGGAGGAGUAACCAGGGUGUUACAAAAUCUGUGUAGACAAACAUUGUUGGAGAGUCUGUUUACUGUCUUUGGUUCAUAUGAUGAUUUACUGGUGGUUUUGAUGUGGGCAACUUCUUUGCAAAAGAGCUUCUAAACAGUUUGGUUUUUUGUUUUGUUUUUUAAUUGUUUAGCUUUCUGAGCUGAUACUUCUCAUUUUCCAAUUCAGCAGGCAGCCUAGAUCAUAUCUGAAACACUGGGUAAGUCUUUCAACCACAUAGUGUGUAAAGGUUUCUCUGAUGUGUACAUCCCUUAAUACUCCACUUUGCAGUUCACUUGCCACUUUUGAUAUCAAUAACUUGUCUUUUUGUAACAGAAUAAUCUAGCCUUGUUUAAAAAAAAAACGAAACAAAACCAACCUUGAAAAUCUUAACAGUUUAGUCUCAAUUUACUCAUCUGUGGCAACCAGGUAGUAUUUUAUUUGCCUGUUGGAUUGUUAUGCAAGGGCAGAUUAAAUUGUACAAUGCUGGCCUAAUGCAAGAGAGGAAAUAGGUAAGCUUGUUCAGGUUUAAGGCUGAUGUUCAGAAGUGACAGUUACCAAAUCAGCUCAUGCAGGCCUGUAAGCAGGGGGUUAAUCAGUGGAGUUCGGCCCAUGAACUUUUGCAGUUUUGGCUGGAGUAGUUUAAGAAUUACUGCUCCUACAGCAGGGUUUGUGAAUAGAAGUGUGAAAAUGCCUCACAGCUUUAGUACUAAAUCCAUUGAUUUAACUUAAAUUUGUGGGAGCCGAUUUUAAGAUACUUUACCAGACUGCAGCGAAGCAACUGAGAAGAUUUUACAUACUCCAUCCCACUGAUUUUGGUGUAGGGAUUUAACAAGCAGUUGAAGGAUGGUAGUAUGUCAGACCACCACAGCUCUGUCAAAGCCCUCUUGUAGUCUGUCAACAAAUACGGACAAUUUGUAGGGAGAAAUACCAAGAUUACUAUUUCAGUUGGAAUAUGAACUAAAUAGUUUAAUGUGUGGCAGCAUGCAACAAAGUUAGAUGCAAGAACAAACUUCUUGCAGUCUGUCUUUUUUAAGCAAAAUUGAUAUUGCACUUACCAUGAGAACUUUUGGCUGACAUACAAGCUGUAUAGUUUACUAAAAACAUUCCAGUCAAAGACAAUGUCAAAACAGCUUAGUGUCUGGACAGCUUAACUUGUGAAUGCCAGCCAUGAUUCUGUAUGUGAUGCACUGUAUCUCCGUAUGCUCUGUUUGCAUGGUGAGUGAUGGGCACUGUGAACAGCACCGGUUUGCUCUAACGGUUGCUAUGCCAAUCCUAUGGAAUUUUUAAGUAGUUGAGGUUUUUAUUAGCCUUGACUUUAAGUGGACCAAUUGCAUUGCACAUGGUUUUUAACUGACCAGUCUAACUAUCCAUUGUAUCAUAUGUAGGUGUUUGGAAGAAUUGCGUUAUUGACUUUGGCUGUAAUUUAGCCCACUAACCUGUGAAUCGCAUAACAAAUUCCUUGUGGCCCUUGACUGCCGUAGCUUGCUGGGUGUUUAUAAAAUGAUCCUGUAAACAAAAGCCUGGGAAUUCUUUCAGUGUGUUUAUAGUGGCUAGUUAAAUGUCAGUAAGAUCCUAGCGUGUAUUCAGUAAGUAUUAGAAGGCUGACUUCUGGCCUUCCUAAUGUGAAAGAACAUCAGGUGGAGUUUUUCCUCCUCAUUAUGACAAUCAUACCUCUCUAUACCUGUACUGAAUACAUGCCACAAAAUGCAUGUUUCAUGUCCUGUCUUUCUGCUCAAAGUAUUAGUGGAGUAGGACACAUCCUGCCUAGCACUCGGCGGUCAUUGUAGUAAUUUCUAGGUGCCAUAUGUGUACAUAAUAUUUUAUGACUACCCGAAUACUCUCUUAGUAUGCUGGGUUUGUAUGUAUUUUUAAUAAGACUCUCUUGCACAUAGUAGGAUACCACUCCAGAAACAAAGAAAACACGCCAAUUUUUUAGCAUGCAUUAUGAAUAACUAUGCCAAGCAUUCUGCUAUACUAUUUCAAUACAAUUUUUCUCCAUUACAGUAAAUGUUAAAAUCAGAACUAUUGGCUCAACUUGUGUGUCACAGAAUAGACUGAUCGCUACUGACAAACUGAGUCACAAAGAUUUGCAACUUUUUAGGUUAUUUUUAACACAACCUUGUAAUAGUAUGUUGUAACAUUUAAUGGGCUUAAAAAAGCAAGCUUAAAAUAAGUGGUUUGUGGCUUAGAUUUGUUUUCAGGUAUGUCCACAUUAUGUUAGGAUGUAAAUCAUAUCUCUAAUUUGACAGUCCUGAGUGGAAGUCUGAUAAAACAGGUGCUCCUGAGGGUCUAAUCCUAUUACUAAUAUGAAUGUAAAGUGUGGAACUAAUGAGAUGUUUGAAGACCAUUAAUAGUCAGAUACUCCUCAUAGGUCCAUGUCACUGUGGAUCACGGCAGCUGUACUCGCCUGUCGAUAUUAAUGUAGACUUCAACAGAUUGCUUGGGGAAGCAGCACUCCUGUACUUACUUCCAGUAAGGCAGGCUGCUUGUUGAAGAAGUGAACCUGACUUCCUUUGAAGAGUUGUCCACGUAGCAGUCUCGUCUGGCAACGUACUCCCCAACGUUAGACAGACCUGGCACCACACAGCAGCUCAGAGCACUACGGUAUAUGCCCAUGUCGUGAACAUCAUACCACUCAUUAGUGUUUUCAUCGUAACACUCAACGUUGAAAGUAGUAGUAAAACCAUUAAAGCCACC